rnacentral:rRNA from 1 species
CCUACGGGUGGCAGCAGUGAGGAAUAUUGGUCAAUGGCCGAGAGGCUGAACCAGCCAAGUCGCGUGCGGGAAGACGGCCCUACGGGUUGUAAACCUCUUUUGUCGGGGAGCAAAGCGAACCACGUGUGGUUCAUUGAGAGUACCCGAAGAAAAAGCAUCGGCUAACUCCGUGCCAGCAGCCGCGGUAAUACGGAGGAUGCGAGCGUUAUCCGGAUUUUUUGGGUUUAAAGGGUGCGCAGGCGGAGGUGCAAGUCAGCGGUCAAAUUGCGGGGCUCAACCCCGUACUGCCGUUGAAACUGCAUCCCUUGAGUGCGCGAGAAGUAUGCGGAAUGCGUGGUGUAGCGGUGAAAUGCAUAGAUAUCACGCAGAACUCCGAUUGCGAAGGCGGCCUGCUGGACGACAACUGACGGUGAGGCGCGAAAGCGUGGGGAGCAAACAGGAUUAGAUACCCGUGUAGUC